UACGUAGGGCGCAAGCGUUGUCCGGAAUUAUUGGGCGUAAAGAGCUCGUAGGCGGCCAGUUGCGUCCGCUGUGAAAUCCCGGGGCUUAACCCCGGGCGUGCAGUGGAUACGGGCUGGCUGGAGGCAGGCAGGGGAGAACGGAAUUCCUGGUGUAGCGGUGAAAUGCGCAGAUAUCAGGAGGAACACCGGUGGCGAAGGCGGUACUCUGGGCCUGUACUGACGCUGAGGAGCGAAAGCGUGGGGAGCGAACAGG
rnacentral:rRNA from 1 species